GGUCACGUUGACUGGCUUUCAUUGUUUUGGUAGGAGAAAACAGUAAAAAGACCUCAAAAUGGCUGAAGACACAUCCUCUGAUCCUUUCUCUGCUGCCACCAGCCCUUCCCGAGGAUCCCGAGGGCGUAGGACUGACCCUCUGACAUCCAGCCCGGGGAGGGACCUUCCACCGUUUGAGGAUGACUCCGAGUUGAUGGGAGAAAAUGCAGGGGAGGAAGAGGAAGACGGAGAAGAACUCUUUGGGGAUCAGUUAGAACAGGACUAUCGUGCCAUCCCAGCCCUAGACAGAUAUGAUCAGGAAGGGCUGGAUGAAGAUGAUUAUUCUGAAUUAUCGGAGAAUCAGAGACAGGCUGCGGAGAGAGAGAUGAGACAAAGAGACAGAGAGGAAGGCGUUCUUACUGGCCGAAUGAGGAGGGGGCUAAUGUAUGAAGAGUCUGAUGAAGAAGAUGAUGCAGCCCCAAGAAAGCGAAGACGAGCGGAACGUGCAGCCGAAGGCGAUGUAGAGGAUGAGGAGGUAUGUUCCUGGAUUCUUUUAACUCUUUAAUUAGUACACUGACAAAUUCUGAUAACUCUAUAUUUUGAUAUUAUAGGACUGAGAAAGUUAGGAAAAGGCAGCUUUAUUUGAUAGUUAAUAGUUCUGUGUAUAAAAGAAGUACUACCUAAAUUGUUAAUAUUUGUUCGAAAUUUCCAUAAGAGCAUUCAAGGAAUGGAACGUGGGUUACCUAUAUAUAUCAUUUUAUUUUCCCAACAAUAUUUGUAUGAUCAUUUACGAAUAGCUGAAGCCUAAACAUGCUAAGAAAUUAUCUAAGAGGUGAUUUUGCACUAUGUAAACUUAAUAUAUAUAUUCAAUAAGUACCAAUUUAUGGAAUUUGUGUGUUACUUAGUAAGUGAUUUUUGUGUGUUGUAGAUGAUAGAGAGCAUAGAAAACUUGGAGGACAUGAAGGGACACUCGGUCAGGGAGUGGGUGUCCAUGCUGGGACCCAAGACCGAGAUCAAGAACCGCUUCAAGAACUUCCUGCGUACCUACGUGGACACAAAAGGACACAAUGUGUACAGGGAGAAAAUCAGACAGAUGGUGGAAGCUAAUAGAGAGAGUCUGGUGAUCGACUACAACAUGCUGGCCUCCGUGGAGCAGGUCCUAGCCUACUUCCUGCCAGAGGCGCCUGCUGAAAUGUUGCAGAACUUUGACGAGGCAGCGAAAGAGGUGGUGUUAAACAUGUACCCUAAGUAUGAGAAUAUUGCCAAAGAAAUUCACGUCAGAAUAGCAGAGUUACCACUUAUUGAAGAAUUAAGAUCAUUAAGACAGCUUCACUUGAACCAGCUGAUCCGGACAAGCGGGGUGGUGACCAGUAGUACGGGGGUGCUGCCCCAGCUCAGUGUCAUCAAGUACGACUGUAACAAGUGUCACUACGUCCUGGGACCGUUCUACCAGUCUCAGAACCAGGAGGUCAAACCCGGGUCAUGUCCCGAGUGUCAGUCCACAGGACCGUUUGAAGUCAACAUGGAACAGACCGUGUACAAGAACUACCAAAGGAUGACCAUCCAGGAGAGUCCUGGCACAGUGCCAGCUGGUCGUUUACCCCGAUCCAAAGACACCAUCCUAUUGGACGAUCUGGUGGACAUGUGUAAACCAGGAGAUGAAGUGGAGCUGACUGGUAUCUACCACAACAACUACGAUGGUUCCCUGAACAUGUCUAACGGAUUCCCCGUGUUUGCCACAGUGAUCCAGGCCAACUACAUCACAAAGAAGGAUGACAAGCUGGCGGUCGGUUCCCUCACAGACGAGGACAUCAAGGCCAUCGUACAGCUCUCUAAGGACGAGAGGAUAGGAGAGAAGAUAUUUGCCAGCAUGGCUCCUUCCAUCUACGGCCACGAGGACAUCAAACGUGCGGUGGCCCUGGCAAUAUUUGGGGGUGAGCCUAAGAACCCUGGUGGGAAGCACAAAGUUCGUGGCGACCUCAACGUGCUGAUCUGUGGUGACCCAGGGACUGCGAAGUCUCAAUUUCUAAAGUACGUGGAGAAGACUGGUCCCCGUGUGGUGUUCACCACCGGUCAGGGAGCCUCCGCCGUGGGUCUGACGGCAUACGUGCAGAGGAACCCCGUGUCCAAAGAGUGGACGCUGGAGGCAGGUGCCCUGGUGCUGGCUGACAAAGGGAUGUGUCUGAUCGAUGAGUUUGACAAGAUGAAUGAUGCUGACAGGACCAGUAUACACGAGGCCAUGGAACAGCAGAGUAUCUCCAUCUCCAAGGCUGGUAUAGUUACCUCCCUCCAGGCCCGCUGUUCUGUGUUAGCGGCAGCCAACCCCAUAGGAGGAAGAUACGACCCCUCACUCACCUUCUCCGAAAAUGUGGAUUUGACAGAACCUAUCCUGUCCAGGUUUGACAUCCUGUGUGUGGUGAGAGACACUGUAGACCCAGUACAGGAUGAGAGACUGGCCCGUUUCGUGACAGGAAGUCAUAUCAAGCACCAUCCAAAUGUAGGAGAAACACAGAGCAAUGAAAGUCUGCAUUCACUGAACACCACAUCCACUGUAGAGCCCGUACCCCAGGACCUGCUGAAGAAGUACAUUGUGUACUGUAAGAACAAGAUCCACCCCAAGCUCCACCAGAUGGACCAGGACCGAGUCGCCAAGAUGUAUGCCGAGCUCCGAAGGGAGUCAAUGUCAACAGGCAGUAUACCUAUCACUGUGAGACACAUAGAGUCCAUGAUCAGGAUGGCCGAGUCUCACGCCAAGAUGCACCUGAGAGACUACGUCAAUGAGGACGAUGUCAAUAUGGCGAUCCGCAUCAUGCUGGAGAGCUUUAUCAGCACCCAGAAGUUCAGCGUCACACGGUCAAUGAGAAAGACUUUUGGCCGAUACCUCGCCUUCAGAAAAGACAACAAUGAAUUACUGCUGUUUAUUUUAAAACAACUGGCCCAGGAUCAGAUGACGUUCCAGAGAAAUCGGUACGGACUGGAGCAGGAGCAGAUCGAGAUCUCGGAGAAAGACCUCGCGGAUAAGGCAAGACAGAUCAACAUCUCCAACCUGACGUCCUUCUACGACAGCGAUAUCUUCAAGGCCAACCACUUCAGUCACGACUCAAAGCGCAAAGUGAUCGUACAGUGUGUUUAAUGUGUUCAUAUUAACUAAUUGUAAAACCUAGUGAAUUGAUGAGACCUACCAACGUCAGAUACCAGCAACAAGUGGGGAAAUGGGCCAGGUCUGUUAGAUGUUGUUCAUGUACAUUUACCAUCAUCAGCUACAAGCAGUUUAUGCAUUGAGUAAACUGAUCAAAUUCUACAUACCUUGGUGACCUCGAUGAAUUCGUUUAAUGUUACAACUGCAAUAGAAAAUUCUAUAUGAUGGACACCUAUGCCUCCACACAUAAUCUUAAAGAUGAAUUAACUUCUUUCUUGUAAAGGAAUGUGGGAAAUUAACUAUCAUGGCUGUGCAAUAGUUUGAGUCGUGUUUUCACAAAGUGCUCUUGUACUAUGGGACUUAACUUACUCUGCUGUAAAAUGUUUUGUAAUAUUGUAAAUAUCAUGGAUUAAGAUUAUUUUUGGUCAUAUACCAUAAAUAUAUUUGUUAUAUUUUUUGUACAUUAUGAAUGAGAUGAAGGAAUAAAGAUAACAAGUGAC
rnacentral:misc_RNA from 1 species